GCAAAUUCCUGUUCAUUGUUAAUUCUGUGUUUAAUCUGUCACAACAGCUCGUUUAUUCAUGUACAUUUAAGAGAGUUACAGUAUGGGAGCACUGUGGGGCUCAGUAAUUAGUGAUGUCGCUCUCUGAAAACAGGUGGGAAAAAUACAAACCCACUGUAGUUCUGAGUUUAGAAACGAACUCGGUUCAAAUUCAAGGUAAACCUGGGUGCAGCAGUCUGGAAUAUGUGCCUGAACGCAGCUAAAACAGCACUGAGGACCUUCAGUUGACCGUGUGCUCUCAGAAUAUUCUCUUGUACACACUGUGGUAGUGUGAGGAUGAGUGGCCAGGAAGUUACCGGAGACAGAGGUGGUGUUGAUACCCAAAAAAGCUUGCGAAUCAGGAGAGAGAGAGAAAUAUAAAGAUGCACAAGGGAGGAAAAGGUGGCCCGUUUACACUACUGUAGAAUUAUGUUUUGCUUGUUUACACUGUUCUAGUAUUUAUCUAUACUAAGUUUUAAUUGUUUCCCUAAUUCACUCUAAUAUAGCUUUUUUUCCAUACAAGCUGUUCUAGAUUGUUGUGCUUGUACAGACUGUUCUACGAAAUUCUGUCUGUUUCCCAUUCAAUGUUCUCACCACUCUACCCAUUUACACUGUUCCUGAAUGUUAUCUCUAGUAUCAACAUUUUGGGAUUGUUCUUCCCCAUUCAACCUCUAAAAUGUUCUCUUUUGCCUGUUUACACUGUUAUCUUUACUAUGCCAGAUUGGAACUGUUUCAUAUACUGUAUAUGGAAAAGGGAAAGUUAAAAGGUGAAGAAGCAAUAAACGAAUUGCCCAGUCA